rnacentral:tRNA from 1 species
GCGCCUGUGGCGAAAUUGGUAUACGCGCCAGACUUAGGAUCUGGUAACUUCCGUUGUGUAGGUUCGAGUCCUAUCAGGCGCACAA